rnacentral:rRNA from 1 species
CGGACGGGUGAGUAACACGUGGAUAACCUACCUAUAAGACUGGGAUAACUUCGGGAAACCGGAGCUAAUACCGGAUAAUAUAUUGAACCGCAUGGUUCAGUAGUGAAAGACGGUUUUGCUGCCACUUAUAGAUGGAUCCGCGCCGCAUUAGCUAGUUGGUAAGGUAACGGCUUACCAAGGCAACGAUGCGUAGCCGACCUGAGAGGGUGAUCGGCCACACUGGAACUGAGACACGGUCCAG